CUACGGGGGGCUGCAGUGGGGAAUAUUGCACAAUGGGCGCAAGCCUGAUGCAGCCAUGCCGCGUGUAUGAAGAAGGCCUUCGGGUUGUAAAGUACUUUCAGCGGGGAGGAAGGGAGUAAAGUUAAUACCUUUGCUCAUUGACGUUACCCGCAGAAGAAGCACCGGCUAACUCCGUGCCAGCAGCCGCGGUAAUACGGAGAGUGCAAGCGUUAAUCGGAAUUACUGGGCGUAAAGCGCACGCAGGCGGUGUGUUAAGUCAGAUGUGAAAUCCCCGGGCUCAACCUGGGAACUGCAUCUGAUACUGGCAAGCUUGAGUCUCGUAGAGGGGGGUAGAAUUCCAGGUGUAGCGGUGAAAUGCGUAGAGAUCUGGAGGAAUACCGGUGGCGAAGGCGGCCCCCUGGACGAAGACUGACGCUCAGGUGCGAAAGCGUGGGGAGCAAACAGGAUUAGAUACCCGUGUAGUC
rnacentral:rRNA from 1 species